rnacentral:rRNA from 1 species
AUUGAACGCUGGCGGCAGGCUUAACACAUGCAAGUCGAGCGGAGAGAGGUAGCUUGCUACUGAUCUUAGCGGCGGACGGGUGAGUAAUGCUUAGGAAUCUGCCUAUUAGUGGGGGACAACAUUUCGAAAGGAAUGCUAAUACCGCAUACGUCCUACGGGAGAAAGCAGGGGAUCUUCGGACAUUGCGCUAAUAGAUGAGCAUAAGUCGGAUUAGCUAGUUGGUGGGGUAAAGGCCUACCAAGGCGACGAUCUGUAGCGGGUCUGAGAGGAUGAUCCGCCACACUGGGACUGAGACACGGCCCAGACUCCUACGGGAGGCAGCAGUGGGGAAUAUUGGACAAUGGGCGGAAGCCUGAUCCAGCCAUGCCGCGUGUGUGAAGAAGGCCUUAUGGUUGUAAAGCACUUUAAGCGAGGAGGAGGCUACUUUAGUUAAUACCUAGAGAUAGUGGACGUUACUCGCAGAAUAAGCACCGGCUAACUCUGUGCCAGCAGCCGCCGUAAGAC